rnacentral:rRNA from 1 species
AACAAACGCUGGCGGCGUGCCUAAUACAUGCAAGUUGAACGGGAUAAGUUGUAGCAAUACGACUUUGAGAGUAGCGCACGGGCGCGUAACACGUAUGCAAUCUGCCCCUAUCUGUGGAAUAGCCCCUCGAAAGAGGGAUUAAUACCACAUAAAAUAGUGAAUAGGCAUCUAUUUACUAUCAAAGCUCCGGCGGAUAGGGAUGGGCAUGCGGCUGAUUAGGUAGUUGGUGAGGUAAUGGCUCACCAAGCCAACGAUCAGUAGGGGGUCUGAGAGGAUGUCCCCCCACACUGGUACUGAGACACGGACCAGACUCCUACGGGAGGCAGCAGUAGGGAAUAUUGGUCAAUGGGGGAAACCCUGAACCAGCCAUGCCGCGUGCAGGAUUAAGGCCCUAUGGGUCGUAAACUGCUUUUGUACGGGAAGAAAUCACAUUACGUGUAAUGUGUUGACGGUACCGUGAGAAUAAGGAUCGGCUAACUUCGUGCCAGCAGCCGCCGUAACAC